UACAGAGGGUGCGAGCGUUGUUCGGAAUUAUUGGGCGUAAAGGGCGCGUAGGCGGUGCCACAAGUCACCUGUGAAAUCUCCUGGCUCAACUGGGAGCUUGCAGGCGAAACUGUGGUGCUGGAGUGUGGGAGAGGUGCGUGGAAUUCCUGGUGUAGCGGUGAAAUGCGUAGAUAUCAGGAGGAACACCUGUGGCGAAAGCGGCGCACUGGACCACAACUGACGCUGAUGCGCGAAAGCUAGGGGAGCAAACAGG
rnacentral:rRNA from 1 species